AUUGAACGCUGGCGGCAGGCCUAACACAUGCAAGUCGAGCGGAUGAAGGGAGCUUGCUCCUGGAUUCAGCGGCGGACGGGUGAGUAAUGCCUAGGAAUCUGCCUGGUAGUGGGGGAUAACGUCCGGAAACGGGCGCUAAUACCGCAUACGUCCUGAGGGAGAAAGUGGGGGAUCUUCGGACCUCACGCUAUCAGAUGAGCCUAGGUCGGAUUAGCUAGUUGGUGGGGUAAAGGCCUACCAAGGCGACGAUCCGUAACUGGUCUGAGAGGAUGAUCAGUCACACUGGAACUGAGACACGGUCCAGACUCCGACGGGAGGCAGCAGUGGGGAAUAUUGGACAAUGGGCGAAAGCCUGAUCCAGCCAGGCCGCGUGUGUGAAGAAGGUCUUCGGAUUGGAAAGCACUUUAAGGUGGGAGGAAGGGCAGUAAGUUAAUACCUAGCUGUUUUGACGUUACCAACAGAAUAAGCACCGGCUAACUUCGUG
rnacentral:rRNA from 1 species